ACAAUUUUCAUUACGCUGCGGAUAGUGCUUUCGAGCGGCAGCGGAAAGUAGCUUGCUACUUUGCCGGCGAGCGGCGGACGGGUGAGUAAUGUCUGGGAAACUGCCUGAUGGAGGGGGAUAACUACUGGAAACGGUAGCUAAUACCGCAUAACGUCGCAAGACCAAAGAGGGGGACCUUCGGGCCUCUUGCCAUCAGAUGUGCCCAGAUGGGAUUAGCUAGUAGGUGGGGUAACGGCUCACCUAGGCGACGAUCCCUAGCUGGUCUGAGAGGAUGACCAGCCACACUGGAACUGAGACACGGUCCAGACUCCUACGGGAGGCAGCAGUGGGGAAUAUUGCACAAUGGGCGCAAGCCUGAUGCAGCCAUGCCGCGUGUAUGAAGAAGGCCUUCGGGUUGUAAAGUACUUUCAGCGGGGAGGAAGGCGUUGAGGUUAAUAACCUCAGCGAUUGACGUUACCCGCAGAAGAAGCACCGGCUAACUCCGUGCCAGCAGCCGCGGUAAUACGGAGGGUGCAAGCGUUAAUCGGAAUUACUGGGCGUAAAGCGCACGCAGGCGGUCUGUCAAGUCGGAUGUGAAAUCCCCGGGCUCAACCUGGGAACUGCAUUCGAAACUGGCAGGCUAGAGUCUUGUAGAGGGGGGUAGAAUUCCAGGUGUAGCGGUGAAAUGCGUAGAGAUCUGGAGGAAUACCGGUGGCGAAGGCGGCCCCCUGGACAAAGACUGACGCUCAGGUGCGAAAGCGUGGGGAGCAAACAGGAUUAGAUACCCUGGUAGUCCACGCCGUAAACGAUGUCGACUUGGAGGUUGUGCCCUUGAGGCGUGGCUUCCGGAGCUAACGCGUUAAGUCGACCGCCUGGGGAGUACGGCCGCAAGGUUAAAACUCAAUGAAUUGACGGGGGCCCGCACAAGCGGUGGAGCAUGUGGUUUAAUUCAAUGCAACGCGAAGACCCUUACCUACUCUUGACAUCCAGAGAACUUAACAGAGAUGCUUUGUGCCUUCGGAACUCUGAGACAGGUGCUGCAUGGCUGUCGUCAGCUCGUGUGUGAAAUGUUGGAUUAAGUCCCGCAACCGAGCGCAACCUAUCCUUUGGUGCCAGCGGUUCCGACGGAACUCAAAGGAACUGCAAUGAUAACUGAGAACUGGGAUGACUCAUUCCAUCAUGGCCUACAGUAGGCCUACACCGG
rnacentral:rRNA from 1 species